rnacentral:rRNA from 1 species
GACGAACGCUGGCGGCGCGCCUAACACAUGCAAGUCGAACGAGCGAGAGAGAGCUUGCUUUCUCAAGCGAGUGGCGAACGGGUGAGUAACGCGUGAGGAACCUGCCUCAAAGAGGGGGACAACAGUUGGAAACGACUGCUAAUACCGCAUAAGCCCACAGCUCGGCAUCGAGCAGAGGGAAAAGGAGUGAUCCGCUUUGAGAUGGCCUACCAAGGCGUCGACGGGUAGCCGGCCUGAGAGGGUGACCGGCCACAUUGGGACUGAGAUACGGCCCAG